UAAAUAAUGAAACAAGGAAAUAACUCACGCGCGCCCUCUAGCGACACAAAACCGUCAUAGCAGCUCAUUAUUCAUUUGCAGGGCGCAUCCAAGUCUUUGCCAUUGUUUUAUAUUAUACAUUUGAUCAAGUUUUUAGGGGCUGGGUUUGGUGAAUUAGCUACUAGUAUAUUUUCUCUAUUUUGUUGGUCUGAAUAUGUUUAUCAGUCAGUCAGUGUUUGUAUCAUGUUAUUUUUCAUAAUGGUUGUCUGUGAGUUUUUGUAAAGGUGUUUGAAUGUUAAAGUCUUAAGUGGGUUUGUUCCCAUCAGUUAAAAAAAAAACUCAUCAAACCAGUUUUUAUUUCAAUCAGGACAGGAUUGCAGUAUAUAAACUUACAUGCCAAAGAUGUUAUGGCCUGCAGCGAUGACUCUUCUUGAGAAGUAUAAUGCAAAGAGGAAAAACCAGAGAUUGUGUUACCGAGGAUCCGUUGAGUAAAUGUGUACACAGUAGUUUCCUGUAGGUGGCGAUCUCUACAUCCAGAGCCAGUUUGACAUUCAUCAGAUCCUGGUAGUCACGAAGCUGUUUGGCCAUGUUCUGUUUGGCUUUCAGGUGUGCUUCUUCCAGCAUUUUGAUUCGCUGUUUC